UACGAACUGUGCGAACGUUAUUCGGAAUCACUGGGCUUACAGGGUGCGUAGGCGGCUCAACAAGUCAGGUGUGAAAGCCCCCCGGCUCAACCGGGGAACUGCGCUUGAAACUGUUAGGCUCGAGUCAGCUAGAGGUACACGGAACUUCCAGUGGAGCGGUGAAAUGUGUUGAUAUUGGAAGGAACACCGGAGGCGAAAGCGGUGUACUGGGGCUGGUCUGACGCUGAGGCACGAAGCCAGGGGAGCGAACGGG
rnacentral:rRNA from 1 species